rnacentral:rRNA from 1 species
UACGUAGGGGGCAAGCGUUGUCCGGAAUCAUUGGGCGUAAAGCGCGUGUAGGCGGCCCGAUAAGUCCGCUGUGAAAGCCCAGGGCUCAACCCUGGGAUGCCGGUGGAUACUGUCGGGCUCGAGUCCGGAAGAGGCGAGUGGAAUUCCUGGUGUAGCGGUGAAAUGCGCAGAUAUCAGGAGGAACACCGGUGGCGAAGGCGGCAUCCUGGACCGGUAUUGACGCUGGAGGCGCGGAAAGCCAGGGGAGCAAACGGG